UGCCAUUCUAAGUGUGCCUGUGGCUAGCUC
rnacentral:piRNA from 1 species